rnacentral:rRNA from 1 species
CAGCACCUCAAGUGGUCAGGAUGAUUAUUGGGCCUAAAGCAUCCGUAGCCGGCGCUGUAAGUUUUCGGUUAAAUCUGUACGCUCAACGUACAGGCUGCCGGGAAUACUGCAGCGCUAGGGAGUGGGAGAGGUAGACGGUACUCGGUAGGAAGGGGUAAAAUCCUUUUAUCUAUUGAUGACCACCUGUGGCGAAGGCGGUCUACCAGAACACGUCCGACGGUGAGGGAUGAAAGCUGGGGGAGCAAACCGGAUUAGAUACCCGAGUAGUCC